rnacentral:rRNA from 1 species
CAGCAGCCGCGGGAAUACGUAGGGUGCAAGCGUUGUCCGGAAUUAUUGGGCGUAAAGAGCUCGUAGGCGGCUAGUCGCGUCGGCUGUGAAAACCUGGGGCUCAACCCCGGGCCUGCAGCCGAUACGGGCUAGCUAGAAUUCGGUAGGGGAGACUGGAAUUCCUGGUGUAGCGGUGAAAUGCGCAGAUAUCAGGAGGAACACCGGUGGCGAAGGCGGGUCUCUGGGCCGAUAUUGACGCUGAGGAGCGAAAGCGUGGGGAGCGAACAGGAUUAGAUACCCGCGUAGUCCCUGUCUCUUAUAA